AUUGAACGCUGGCGGCAGGCCUAACAUAUGCAAGUCGAACGGUAGCACAGAGAGCUUGCUCUCGGGUGACGAGUGGCGGACGGGUGAGUAACGUCUGGGAAACUGCCCGAUGGAGGGGGAUAACUACUGGAAACGGUAGCUAAUACCGCAUAACGUCGCAAGACCAAAGUGGGGGACCUUCGGGCCUCACACCAUCGGAUGUGCCCAGAUGGGAUUAGCUAGUAGGUGGGGUAAUGGCUCACCUAGGCGACGAUCCCUAGCUGGUCUGAGAGGAUGACCAGCCACACGGGAACUGAGACACGGUCCAGACUCCUACGGGAGGCAGCAGUGGGGAAUAUUGCACAAUGGGCGCAAGCCUGAUGCAGCCAUGCCGCGUGUAUGAAGAAGGCCUUCGGGUUGUAAAGUACUUUCAGCGGGGAGGAAGGCGGUGAAGUUAAUAGCUUCACCGAUUGACGUUACCCGCAGAAGAAGCACCGGCUAACUCCGUGCCAGCCGCCGCAGUAA
rnacentral:rRNA from 1 species